AUACAGCGAUUUUGCUGAUUGGCAUGGUCUGCUUUGCUGGUUGCCACUGCGGCGGUAACCAAGGGGGACAUAAUACAAUAACAGACCCAACUAAACCAGGUUAUUGUGGUCAAUUUAGCUGCUCUGAUGGAUCCUGCCCAUUAAAGUACUGUAUGUGUAUUACAACGAUGGAAAACUUUUUUUCAGUAAAAUGUGUCUGCCGUCAGGCGGGAAGGUGUUUUUAGAAAAUUAAUUGCUAAAUAAAUAAUGAAAAUUUGUUAAUUGGUGA
rnacentral:lncRNA from 1 species